rnacentral:rRNA from 1 species
UACAGAGGGUGCAAGCGUUGCUCGGAAUUAUUGGGCGUAAAGGGUAGGUAGGUGGUCUCAUUUGUCUGGGGUGAAAGCCUUGAGCUUAACUCAAGAAGUGCCCCAGAAACGGUGAGACUCGAGUCCUGGAGAGGGUCGUGGAAUUCCCGGUGUAGCGGUGAAAUGCGUAGAGAUCGGGAGGAACACCAGAGGCGAAAGCGGCGACCUGGACAGGUACUGACACUCAACUACGAAAGCGUGGGGAGCAAACAGG